rnacentral:rRNA from 1 species
AUUGAACGCUGGCGGCAUGCCUUACACAUGCAAGUCGAACGGUAACAGGUCUUCGGAUGCUGACGAGUGGCGAACGGGUGAGUAAUACAUCGGAACGUGCCUAGUAGUGGGGGAUAACUACUCGAAAGAGUGGCUAAUACCGCAUGAGAUCUACGGAUGAAAGCAGGGGAUCGCAAGACCUUGUGCUACUAGAGCGGCCGAUGGCAGAUUAGGUAGUUGGUGGGAUAAAAGCUUACUAAGCCGACGAUCUGUAGCUGGUCUGAGAGGACGAUCAGCCACACUGGGACUGAGACACGGCCCAGACUCCUACGGGAGGCAGCAGUGGGGAACUUUGGACAAUGGGCGAAAGCCUGAUCCAGCAAUGCCGCGUGCAGGAUGAAGGCCUUCGGGUUGUAAACUGCUUUUGUACGGAACGAAAAGCCCCGGGUUAAUACCCUGGGGUCGUGACGGUACCGUAAGAAUAAGCACCGGCUAACUACGUGCCAGCCGCCGCGGUAA